GCGUCAGGCCCGGGAUCGAACCCACGACUUCCUGUAAACCAGCCGAGGUAGUUAACAUCGCCACUGUGGUGCCCAUAUAAUACGAGUAUCGGGUAAUCGGUGCUUGGAUAAGGGGAGUCUCGCCGCGUGUACCACAGGCAUGGUCGCACGUUAUAUGGAAGGCACUUUAAAAAUAUCAGCCACUCCCUAGCAGCUCCGGGGACAGAUCGGUCUGGACUGUUGCGCCAAAACAUGCGCCAGCAAAUCACCUUUUUUGACUGCAAUAAAACUUGCAAAGUAGUGCAUGUCAGGUUCUGACAUUCACACAGCUGGGCCCACAAUGUCCUGCCUGAAGGUCAGCUAAUUCAUCAAGUAUUCCCCCUGUCCUCCCUGCAGAUGGAAUGCCAUUUGGUAGGACCCUGGUUUCGCGCUUUACUUAUUUAUUUACUUGCUCGCUUAGAUGUUCACACGGAACUGUGUAUGUGCUGAUGCACCGCUGCUUUUCCGUAGUGGCUGGCAGCAAAUAAAAUAAUUGCCGUGGCUGGAAAUACCAAAACCGCUCGAAUCUUGGACAUCUGCAUAUCGGCCGGGACCAAAAGCCCUGGUGGAUAAGGGAAGGCCAACACUGCAGUUUGCAAACAAACCAGGAUUAGACGCAAUGAAAGCACAGCUCCUAGAGGGAUUCAUGGUUUAUUUGCGGCGGACGUUAACAGCAAAAGGGCUUCUCCACGGUGUGCCGUGAUUCAGAAAGUGUCGAUACAUUUGCAUGCCACGGGGGAACUGAGCUAGCACCGCCGAGAUCAUGGUUCGAGCCCCAUGCGUCUUAUUCCAGCCGUAGCAGGUUCAAUAGCUGCAAGUUCGCCGGAUUUAAUUGUAUAAACCUGCUCAAUAAAGACUGAUAUAUAUUUUAAAAGCAAGGCGCAUUCGUAAGGCAAAGAGGUCCAGUUUCUAAUCGUAGGGCGACCGCUGUCGUUGACUUCCCCACUGAAUGUGAACUCGUUUUUUUUCUUUCUAUCAACCGUGGGAGGGACCAUAAACAAAGCAAAGGUGCAGCCCUGCAAUCUGCAUUGGAGGGAGCUCGAGAGGUGACCUGCGAAAAGGAUGCUUGGCGGAUACUCUUCUACGCCGGUCAGACGUCUUGAAAAAUUGUGGGGGGAGUACCCCAUACUUUUCCCCACCCGUAUCGGUGAAGGAGAUGCUCACACGUCUCAAUGGACUAAGGCGCAUGAGCUCACGCAGAUAUACAUGUAUACACACACACACGUAAAAAAAUUACACCACGUUGUUUUGGUGAUACUUCAUUGGCAGUGGUGCACAAGAACAAACAACAAACAAACAACAACAAUCACAUAUCCGUCAAUAACACUGCGGCCUUGAAAUUGUUAUUUUUUUGUUCGUGAAAAUGGCAAUGUGUCUUUUUUAGCAAUGGCCUUUCUUCAUCCAGUACACAGAGCGCCCAGAGAGAUUUGAGUGGAUACGAGUCGGCGACUGCACUCCCUGUGGCCACAAAGAGAGAUGGCGAUGGCUCGGCGGACGUCUUCAUCCAGCAGUGGAUUAAUCAAGGUUGAUAAUGAUGACUCAUGGGGCAAGUGUUGUUCGCGAGCACCUAUGGAAGACGGGGUGUGUUUCCAGCACCAAGCACGGCCGUCUUUGUCUCCCCAAUGCUCGCGUUAACACAUUACACGAGGUCAUGCCGCGUGUCGUCUGGUACCACGUCCCGACGUUCCGCUCCACGCACGCCGGGAGCUUCUCCGGGAACUGGUUUGCGCGGAGCGAAAUCAUCAGACGUGCUAAACGACGUGCGGCAACACCCGAACAAAAACAUCUCAGGGCGACACAGCCACGCGCGUGAAAAGCCCAAGCAGUAGAACGCCUCUCUAAUUUUGGUCGGAAGCUAAUGAAAACUUCAUAGCGCAUAGAGAGGCCAGGAAAAUUGCGAGGAUAAUAAGGAGUUCACACCGUGGGGCCUGAUGAGAAUAAAAAAAAAACCAGAAUAUUCUGAUGACCAUUUGUCAAAUAGGUGUCUGAAUAAUUACGUAUUAGUAGAGUCACAGGUAUCAAAAAGUGAAACUCACGGUAUCGCAGCACAUAGAGAGGCCAGGAAAAUUGCGAGGAUAAUAAGGAGUUCACACCGUGGGGCCUGAUGAGAAUAAAAAAAAAACAGAAUAUUCUGAUGACCAUUUGUCAAAUAGGUGUCUGAAUAAUUACGUAUUAGUAGAGUCACAGGUAUCAAUAAGUGAAACUCACGGUAUCGCAGCACAUAGAGAGGCCAGGAAAAUUGCGAGGAUAAUAAGGAGUUCACACCGUGGGGCCUGAUGAGAAUAAAAAAAAAAACAGAAUAUUCUGAUGACCAUUUGUCAAAUAGGUGUCUGAAUAAUUACGUAUUAGUAGAGUCACAGGUAUCAAAAAGUGAAACUCACGGUAUCGCAGCACAUAGAGAGGCCAGGAAAAUUGCGAGGAUAAUAAGGAGUUUACACCGUGGGGCCUGAUGAGAAUUAACAAAAAUAAUUUCCGAUGACCAUUUGUCAAAUAGUCGUCUGAAUAAUGACGUAUUAGUAGAGUCACAGGUAUCACAAAAGUAAAAACUCACGGCAUCGCCACGCUUCAACUAUACUUGGUGGUUUGCGGUGUCGAGGUGGUUGGUGCGAGUGGUGUGGUUGAACAGCCAGACGGUGGUGAUGGGACUGGACUGGCCUUUAAUAAAAUCUGUGAAUCGGACUUAAUGCUUGGAUUUCGUUUCGUUCCUCACUGAACAGGGAUUGAAACUUUGAGAUGCACAUCUCAUUUCCGAAUGGGGUUCUCUGAUAAGAUGGCAGCAGAACAUAAUUUACACUUCGAAUUUGCAAACAAACACAACAAUGCAUGAUUAAAAUAGAAUAAAGUAGCACGCAUAACGAUUUAAAUUCUACACAGCAUCAUUCAUGCUAACUGCAUCUGACAAUUUUUA